AAACAAUGGGUUUCGGAUUUUAAGAGUAAGUUUUUGUUAAUUGUUUUGAUUUUUAAUAUAAUUUGAUAUUUUUCAGACCAAAAUUCUUUAUAAUGAAGAGGGUAUAUACAAGUUCACUUCAUUGAAUAAAAAUCUGUCUUUUCAUUUUAGGUAUUGCCAAAAUGCAGGAAGCAAUUUCCUUUAAGUAAUUUGGAAAGCAUACCAAACAAGGCGCUGAUUUGCUGAUGCUGCCCAUUGUUUUUGUAUGUACUUCUCAAUGGCAAGAGCUGCCGCAGGCGUUGACGGCGGAGGUGUCACCAUCAAAACCAUUAGAAACAACACCAUCAUGUCAAUGAUGCAAGUGGAAGUUUUGCCAUGUAAUAGUCGACCGCUGACGCCCUUCUCCUUCAAUUGUGUAAGUACGUAUCGAAACAUUCAUAUCGUAGUCAACUAGCUUAAUCUUCAUCUUCUAGGUGUAAAGAGUUUACUACCAGUCUGCGGUUCUGCAAGAGACGCAAGAAAAACAAGAAUAAAAUCGCAGGAAUACUCAAAAAUUGUCCAACCUUGACUGUAAGAGAGUUCAAAUUUUAAAUCUACAACGAAUCCAUUUAUUUUGCUCCUAAGAAUCGCACUGGCUUAACGGAGGCAAAUGAGCUGGCCCGACAAGAAUCCCCAAGAAGCCAAACAGAUUCAGAUCAGUCUCUCGGCAGCUACUGACGAUGUCGGCGAGUGGAUUCCAUCGAUUUUCACACAGAAAAUCAACAUCAAAAAAAUCACGACAAUUUAGCAGCGUCAUGGUCAACCUGCCGAUCAACUAUUCACAGUGAAUAACCUCCAUUCGCAGCGGAAGCGACAAUGCGAAAACAAUGUCAUCAAGCCGGAGUACCAUCCAGGAUCUAUCAAGUAUCGCAUUCAAUUGCUUGCUAACUACCAUGUGCCCAACGUUCUGCUUGUGCGUUGUGAAAACCACUGAAGCCUGGCACGUCCACUGAAUUGAUCCUCAAGCUAACUAACCCAACGAUGUACCAUAUGGCCACAACCAUUAUGAAACUGCCAACCAAGGAAGAGGAACGGCGAAUGAUCGACUUCGAAUAAAAGUUCAACGAAAGGAACCAAAUUCCACCACUUGAAGAAAGUCCAAUAAAGUAACAAUCAAAUUGAACUUCACACCUGAAGAAGGACUGAAACCAGGCGAUAAUGUUACCCUUAGUUUCUUGAUGAAAUAUACUUUUGUGAAUACAUACACAUGCCCGAAAAGAAAGAACGUCAAAAACACGCAUUAUCAUCGAAAGUUUUUGUAAAAGUUGGUCAAAUUGAAGCCUAAAUUUAUUUCUAUGUAUAUCUAGAAAUUAAUCUUUUUUGCAAACAACUUGUUUAUUUAUUUUGAGCUAUAGUGUAAAUUUUGUAUAUAUUGUAUAUUCUACUAUUUCUUUGCUGACUAGGAUUAUUGUUAUUCAAAAUUAUUUAUGAUUUACUUUACUUUAAUAAUAAAGGAAUUUGUUUUGAAUUCAAAGAUGUUGGUGCUUUUUUCUUCAGGGGUUGAAUUCGGUUGAAUCAAGUGAAUUUUGAAGAAUAUACAAAUGGUAAUGUACAAAUUGAUCGGAUUAGCCAAUAUAAAACAUCCCAUUUCGGUUGUUUGGGGGCAGCACAACUCGAACCUUGAACAAAAUGGGACCUACAUAACUAAAAUGUUCGUUGGAAUUUUUACCCGCCCAUUUAAACGAUAUAAAUUUGAUUAGAUGAAAAGGACGAAACAAAUUUAAGCGAAAUAUUGAACAAAUAUUGUAGAUUUGGAAAUCAUCACAAUUACCACCAAUUAUAACGU